GUAUUUCGGUUCAACUCACCGAAAACAUAGAAAUUUGUAAACGUUACAGAAUCUGUCUAUAUUCAGGCAUCAUCACUUUAAAGCAGUUACUAACAAUAGCUCCCACUCCUAUCACGAUUCAUCAAUGAAUACAUCCCUAACUUUCUUUCUCUGAAUUUCAACUAUAAUAAGGUGGAGAAAAGAAUAUAGAACGGAUGAGAGAUCAGAUCUGUUGUUGAAGCUAGAUUACGAUGUGUUUUAGAAGCAUGGUCUGGAAAUCUUCUACGAGGGCUGACUUUAUCUGAGGAGAUAGCUCGAUGGGUUCUGUAAUUUGUUUCUUCGUUGAGGUUGAAUCGAAGAACUGAGGUCGGAGAGCGGAGGGUCUGUUGUGGAUUAUCUACCUUUUUUAACUUUACCAUCAUCUAUCUUUCAACAACUUUUUGAUUUGUUUAUCUUUGCCAACUGGAUUGACAACUCUUCUACUUAUUUUAUGCUUCAGUGGCGGGAUUCAAUGAGAUAAUAAUUAAUUUUGGUUUUGAUUCAUCGGUCGAAGAUUCCUAUUUUGAAUUUGGUGUUUUUUUUGCUUUUUUCUCUUUCUAUUUAGUAUUAGGAUUAUUGUGACAACAACAAUUGUGAUAAAUGGAGCAUCUGAAGGAAGAGCAAUAGAGCAUUGUAACGAAGAUCAUCACGUCGUGCUUUGUUUUUA